UGGUGCGGAGAGGGCCCACAGUG
rnacentral:miRNA from 5 species